rnacentral:rRNA from 1 species
UAAGCGGAGGAAAAGAAACCAACCGGGAUUGCCUUAGUAACGGCGAGUGAAGCGGCAAAAGCUCAAAUUUGAAAUCUGGUACCUUCGGUGCCCGAGUUGUAAUUUGGAGAGGGCAACUUUGGGGCCGUUCCUUGUCUAUGUUCCUUGGAACAGGACGUCAUAGAGGGUGAGAAUCCCGUGUGGCGAGGAGUGCGGUUCUUUGUAAAGUGCCUUYGAAGAGUCGAGUUGUUUGGGAAUGCAGCUCUAAGUGGGUGGUAAAUUCCAUCUAAAGCUAAAUAUUGGCGAGAGACCGAUAGCGAACAAGUACAGUGAUGGAAAGAUGAAAAGAACUUUGAAAAGAGAGUGAAAAAGUACGUGAAAUUGUUGAAAGGGAAGGGCAUUUGAUCAGACAUGGUGUUUUGUGCCCUCUGCUCCUUGUGGGUAGGGGAAUCUCGCAUUUCACUGGGCCAGCAUCAGUUUUGGUGGCAGGAUAAAUCCAUAGGAAUGUAGCUUGCCUCGGUAAGUAUUAUAGCCUGUGGGAAUACUGCCAGCUGGGACUGAGGACUGCGACGUAA